rnacentral:tRNA from 1 species
UCCAGCUUGGUGCAAUGGUUUGAGUGUUGGACUAUGACUCUGGAGAUCAGGGUUCGCUUCCCAGCUUGAG